rnacentral:rRNA from 1 species
UAGGGAAUCUUCGGCAAUGGGGGCAACCCUGACCGAGCAACGCCGCGUGAGUGAAGAAGGUUUUCGGAUCGUAAAGCUCUGUUGUAAGAGAAGAACGUGUGUGAGAGUGGAAAGUUCACACAGUGACGGUAACUUACCAGAAAGGGACGGCUAACUACGUGCCAGCAGCCGCGGUAAUACGUAGGUCCCGAGCGUUGUCCGGAUUUCUUGGGCGUAAAGCGAGCGCAGGCGGCUUAAUAAGUCUGAAGUUAAAGGCAGUGGCUUAACCAUUGUUCGCUUUGGAAACUGUUAAACUUGAGUGCAGAAGGGGAGAGUGGAAUUCCAUGUGUAGCGGUGAAAUGCGUAGAUAUAUGGAGGAACACCGGUGGCGAAAGCGGCUCUCUGGUCUGUAACUGACGCUGAGGCUCGAAAGCGUGGGGAGCAAACAGG